AACGCUGGCGGCGUGCUUAACACAUGCAAGUCGAACGGAGAUAUCAUGUGAGCGUAAGAUGCUUGCAUCAAACAAUCUUUUGAUAUCUUAGUGGCGGACGGGUGAGUAACGCGUGGGUAACCUGCCUCAUACAGGGGGAUAACACUUAGAAAUAGGUGCUAAUACCGCAUAAGCGCACAGAGUCGCAUGACUCAGUGUGAAAAACUCCGGUGGUAUGAGAUGGACCCGCGUCUGAUUAGCUAGUUGGUGGGGUAACGGCCCACCAAGGCGACGAUCAGUAGCCGACCUGAGAGGGUGAUCGGCCACAUUGGGACUGAGACACGGCCCAAACUCCUACGGGAGGCAGCAGUGGGGAAUAUUGCACAAUGGGGGAAACCCUGAUGCAGCGACGCCGCGUGAGUGAAGAAGUAUUUCGGUAUGUAAAGCUCUAUCAGCAGGGAAGAAAAUGACGGUACCUGACUAAGAAGCACCGGCUAAAUACGUG
rnacentral:rRNA from 1 species